rnacentral:lncRNA from 1 species
GGGAGAGUGGACCAGUGAGUCAAAAGAACUACAUCACUACUUGUUUUCUUUUCUGCUGGACUGUAAACCACUAACAUACACAAACACAAAUAAAUGACCUCAAUGAGGCAAAUGUGUCCACUUCAACAUUUUACUGUAUGUAUGAUUAAUUCAGACAGUGGAAAUGUACUUGGCUUAAGUCCAUAUAGUCACAUUCAGUUUGGGGGCAUUUAGAAGUCCCACACACUCAGACCCCCUCCCCAAACACUGUGCAAAGAAACCAAAAAUUCUCCCUCUUACCAACUUCUCAUAUAUCCAUAUACAGUCUCUGUACUUUAAACGGUCUAUCAAAAGAAAAGAAAACAAUUAAUAAACUUAAAUAUCGAUUAAUACGUUUAAGUUUGUAAAUCCAGCUUAAUAAAAUGUACAGAUACACAUAAAACGGUAUACCCUCUUUAAAACUCUGCAGUGUUAAAUUAUUAAUUUAAACUCUACUGUGGUCCACCUGACACACGGUUAUAACUUGGUGUAGAUUAUUACCCUCGUUAUUAUUAUGGUGUGUUCCUCACCUGCUCGCUCGCUGACUUCGUCUCUUCUCGCGUGCAAGUGCACCACAUGAAUAGCAGUGUCUCAGAAAGUUGUCCGUUGCAAACAAACAAAAAAAAAAAAAACGACCAAAAGUAUGACACUUGGCACAACCUCAACCCGACCGAAAGGAAAGUGGAUGGAUAAAAUGAGGUCUUCCUGCAGAUAUUUCCACUCCCUGUAAUGUUAGUUAAACUGAAAAGCGCUCUUGAACUCUUGGUGCACUGCGUGUGUGUAUUUUGGAUGACUGGGUAGUCUGUGGCAGUACGCCCCGGGAAAGACAGACGGCAAACUCCCAGUUAUGCUGCUGCUGCUGCUGCUGGAGGGGAGGGGCCCUCAGCAUCUGUACCGCCGUCCUUUGGGCGCUCCACAGCUUCAGUUUCAUCCCUCCGAAAGUGCUCAGAGUAUUAAAGUUACGAUGGGCCUUGAUAACGGGAACAUGCAGCUUUGUGGUUGACAGCGCGACAGUCUCUACAGUAGGAGUGAAGUGACCUGAAAGUAGAAACAGGUGGGCUGUAUGGCGGCUGGGAGAAGUGCACGGGGGAGAACAUUUGAGACACUGAGAGGUAUUUUACUAAAGAAAAAGUACAGAAGAGCAUAUUUCAAAAUAAGGGAAGAAGUGAAGCACAAUUUGUUC